ensembl:rRNA 5S_rRNA 5S ribosomal RNA
UGUGGCAUGCAUGCAGCUUUAUGAGCUCAAAAGCUAAGCAAGGUUGGGCCUGGUCUGUACUUUGAUGGUAGACCGCUAGGAAUACCAGGUGCCCAGU